GCCCGGGUGGCUCAGUCGGUUGGGCGUCUGACUUCGGCUCAGGUCCUGAUCUCACGGUUCGUGGGUUCGAGCCCCACGUCGGGCU
rnacentral:tRNA from 1 species